AGUGAACGCUGGCGGCAGGCCUAACACAUGCAAGUCGAACGAGUGGCGGACGGGUGAGGAAUAUAUCGGACUCUACUCUGUCGUGGGGGAUAACGUAGGGAAACUUACGCUAAUACCGCAUACCAUUGUAUGAGCCGAUGUCGGAUUAGCUAGUUGGCGGGGUAAAGGCCCACCAAGGCGACGAUCCGUAGCUGGUCUGAGAGGAUGAUCAGCCACACUGGAACUGAGACACGGUCCAGACUCCUACGGUAGGCAGCAGUGGGGAAUAUUGGACAAUGGGCGCAAGCCUGAUGCAGCCAUGCCGCGUGUAUGAAGAAGGCCUUCGGGUUGUAAAGUACUUUCAGCGGGGAGGCGUUACCCGCAGAAGAAGCACCGGCUAACUUCGUGCCAGCCGCCGCGGUAAUUC
rnacentral:rRNA from 1 species